rnacentral:siRNA from 1 species
ACCGCUUAUUUUGUACAAACCGCA